rnacentral:rRNA from 1 species
GACGAACGCUGGCGGCGUGCUUAACACAUGCAAGUCGAACGGACAGGCGAUGCUUUUGUGGGGUGCUCGAGUGGCGAACGGGUGAGAAAAACGUGUGUAAACUGCCCUUGAAUGUGGGGUAACUUCUGGAAAAUGGGGCUAAUACCGGGUAGGAGCUCCUGAUGCGUGGUGGGGGAUGGAAAGUUUCGGCGGUUGGGGCUGGUUUGGCGGCUUAUCAGCUUGUUUGUGGGGUUGUGGCUUUCCAAGGCUUUGAGGGGUAGCCGGCCUGAGAGGGUGACCGGCCACCUUGGGACUGAGGGACGGCCCAGACUCCUACGGGAGGCAGAAGGGGGGAAGAUUGCACAAUGGGCGGAAGCCUGAUGCAGAAGCGCCGCGUGCGGGAUAACGGCCUUCGGGGGGUAAACCACUUUCGCCUGUGACGAAGCGUGAGUGACGGUAACGGGUAAAGAAGCACCGGCUAACUACGUG